AUUGAACGCUGGCGGCAGGCCUAACACAUGCAAGUCGAGCGGAUGAAGGGAGCUUGCUCCUGGAUUCAGCGGCGGACGGGUGAGUAAUGCCUAGGAAUCUGCCUGGUAGUGGGGGAUAACGUCCGGAAACGGGCGCUAAUACCGCAUACGUCCUGAGGUAGAAAGUGGGGGAUCUUCGGACCUCACGCGAUCAGAUGAGCCUAGGUCGGAUUAGCUAGUUGGUGGGGUAAAGGCCUACCAAGGCGACGAUCCGUAACUGGUCUGAGAGGAUGAUCAGUCACACUGGAACUGAGACACGGUCCAGACUCCUACGGGAGGCAGCAGUGGGGAAUAUUGGACAAAGGGCGAAAGCCUGAUCCAGCCAUGCCGCGUGUGUGAAGAAGGUCUUCGGAUUGUAAAGCACUUUAAGUUGGGAGGAAGGGCAGUAAGUUAAUACCUUGCUGUUUUGACGUUACCAACAGAAUAAGCACCGGCUAACUUCGUG
rnacentral:rRNA from 1 species